UACGGGGGGGAGCAAGCGUUGUUCAGAUUUACUGGGCGUAAAGGGCGCGUAGGCGGCCUCUGCAAGUCGACUGUGAAAUCUCCGGGCUUAACCCGGAACGGUCAGCCGAUACUGCAGGGCUAGAGUGCAGAAGGGCAACCGGAAUUCUCGGUGUAGCGGUGAAAUGCGUAGAUAUCGAGAGGAACACCUGCGGCGAAGGCGGGUUGCUGGGCUGAUACUGACGCUGAGGAGCGAAAGCGUGGGGAGCAAACAGG
rnacentral:rRNA from 1 species